rnacentral:rRNA from 1 species
UACGUAGGGGGCAAGCGUUGUCCGGAUUUAUUGGGCGUAAAGAGCGUGUAGGCGGCCUGACAGGUCUGCUGUGAAAACUCGAGGCUCAACCUCGAGAUGUCGGCGGAAACCGUCUGGCUAGAGUCCGGAAGAGGAGAGUGGAAUUCCUGGUGUAGCGGUGAAAUGCGUAGAUAUCAGGAGGAACACCAACGGCGAAGGCAGCCGGCUGGACGAGAUCCGACGCUCAGGCUCGAAAGUAUGGGGAGCAAAAAGG